rnacentral:rRNA from 1 species
ACGAGAGGACCGGGAUGGACGUACCUCUGGUGUACCAGUUGUUCUGCCAAGGGCAUGGCUGGGUAGCUAUGUACGGAAUGGAUAAGCGCUGAAAGCAUCUAAGCGCGAAGCCAACUUCAAGAUAAGAUUGCCCACCGCAAGGGUAAGACCCCAGAAAGACUAUCUGGUUGAUAGGUCGAAGGUGUAAGUGCAGCAAUGUAUUUAGCUUAUCGAUACUAAUAGGUCGAGGACUUGACCAAAUU